UUCUAUACACCUGACUGUCAAAUGUUUGAAUAUGAGACUCUCGUUAAAUUUAAACUACGUAAAUGAUAAUUUGAAACAGGAAGCUCUUUGCCAUUUGAUUUGCGUAAAUCGAUACUUCUACGUGUGUUUAAAACAGUCAAAGAAAAUGGACUACUUUAAGAUAACAUUUCUAUUGCUGAUACUUUUAUUAGAUAUAGGGUUUGACAUCUACGCCAGGAUCAUGUGAACCUAGAUGAUGUUUACGUUAUCGGCUAUAUAACAAGAGGUUAUCAAGGAAUGUUGGAACAAAUUGGAACAAAUACAUGCAUGUGUAAAAUAAGAAGAUUAUGAGGGACCGUACCAUUUAAAAGAAACAGAUGAGUAAACACUGAAUUAUGAUGCAGACGACAAACUGAAUAUUUGCAUUUAUCAGUACGAUGAUAAGAAUAGACUCUCUGAUGUUUUGCGGGUAUCACUUGUGUUAUGAUAAGUGUAAAAGAACGUUGCUUUUCUUUUUAUAAAACUUGUUGUUUAAUUGAAUAGUUAAAAGGAAUUAUAAACCUUCAUAAUGCUGUUUCAGAUGAUGAAACGAGAUUAAAGAUAAGAGCUGGACAAUCAAAUUGUAUCAACGCUAGCUACAUUGAUGCACACCUGUAUUUUCAAAACCUAACGUUUAUAAAGUUUAACUUGCUGAUGUAUAAUCUUGAUUAAACAUAACUUCCUUAUUCAACAAUGGGAAAUCUCGUUACAAGUUUAAACAGCACUCAAGUCGAAGCAACUGGGAUAGUUCCGUAUUUUCUGGUGAAUGAUACGGCAAGAAAAGAUUAAAAUAGUGUACAAUCAUACAAACCUAAUGAGUAAAGAGCAAGAUUUAGUUUCUACAAAGUAUGCCGAGGUCACAUAAAAUGGGUACCAUAUACCAAACGCUGUGGCAGAGCGCAGGCAUUGGAACAACAGAACGGCUUUACAAAAGAGAAGAAAAAAAACAUAUUUAUAUACGACUGAUUAUUAUGCCGUGAUUCCUGAUGUCUUCAAGCAGUGAAGCAUGUCAUUCAACCGUUUUGGAGUGUUUCUUAUAUGGACUCUAUUUCGAAAGAAACACAAGAUAAGAAAUCAGCCAACACAACGAUAUGUUUAUGGGUAUGAUGUAGAAAAAAUAUUGUUUUUGGUCUUUCCAUACAUACCAUUACGUCUGUUUCUACAUAACGAAUUGACGGUCAGCCAAAAAUGGGAUAAAUCGCACGCAAAAAAGUAUUGUGCAUGAAACUGAUAUACAGCAAUCUACUUGUUUUGUUCAGUUUUGAGAUCGGAGGUUAAGAUAUUUCAAUUAGUACAUGCGGACAAUGAAAAAAUAUAAUGAAAUUAUUUGUUUCAUUUGAAGCGCUGAUGUUGGAAGGCAUUGGACUUAUAUUGCACUCGACAACUGGCCAAAGAGGGUAAGGCCGAUGAAGCAAUCGACAAGCAGGGCUGUGUUACAGCAUGAGGCAAAAUGACUCUAUUUGAUUCACACUCUGGUAAUCAAUUUAUUGCGAGUUGCUGUAGAAUAUUGGCAUUGUGACAGGCUGGUGGCAUUGUUAAUUGUAGGACUUUAACAAUGUUUAUUAGAAUGAGAUUAUUCCUUUUCUCACGAACAACCCUGACUCUGUUGCUGGUCGGAAUACUAUCACGAUCCAGCUGAUCUUACUAUUUUCGCACUAGGUCAUUUGCCGCUUUAAUCUUAAUUGUCAUAGAUAUCAGGCGUCUGUUUGACAACGGUAUUGAUAAAACAUACCCGAAUAGUUCGAUCUUUGUUAUUUUAACAUCGUUUUCGAUUUUCAAAAAGCAUCGACGGUUGAAAAAAAUCCGUCACUUUUAGGAUACACAUGCUGUGCGUCACUGUGCUCAUAGAGCUGAAAUCCUAGGUGCACGCUUAACAGAAACAGAAAGGCGACACAGUCUAAACUAUAUUAAUUGUAAAUCACAGUACAAUUAAGCACUGACGAACUGUUCUUUUCAAAAGACAUUCUUUUAUUGACAAUCAAGUAUCUGCAAUUGAGUUGAGACUUCAUCUGAUUUAUCAAUUCGUGGUUUUUGCGUUAAAGCCAACAAAGACGUAAUGACAAAUUUAACGUCGUUAGUCUCAACAAGUAUGUAUCAUUGUGGAUAUCUGUUACGUUUUAAAGGAAAUUAAAGAACUCGAACUAAAGGAGCGCCCAUUUAGAAUCGAGAUGUAUUCAAAUGCAUGUGUGGCAUCCUACUUCCUUGCCAAAUGACGUAGUCAUUACAAAUGUUUUAUAGGUAUAGCUCACAAGUAUAUAAAUCAUUGCAUUGUACUUUUAUCAAACCCUCGAGCUUUUGUCAAUAACAUUUAAAUAAAUAACAAUGAAAGAGAUAGAGAUAUUAUUUAUUUCUUCCGAUAUAAAGAGACAUGAUAUGACAUUUAUAAUCAUAACAUAAUACAAAGAAACAUGUAGAACAAAACUUUACAUAUUAAAUAAAACAGAUAAAACAACGAACAAAUAUAUCAGGUAACAAGGAUAUCUUUAAUUGUAUUAUAACUAUGCAUCUACACAUUAAUUUAUAUAUAGUGAAUAAAGCAUUUUUUAUCAUUUCCCUUACCUUUCUACAUUCUUCGACGUUUUAUUGUUAUCUACUUUAUACAUAUAUAAUCAUUCCAUAUUUAAAAUUUACGGUUUUAGUACAAUAGAACGUAAACGACGAAAAGCGACAGUUAAGGUCUUAAUCACGAGAGUUAUUCAUUUGUUGUAUCUGCAUUCUUGCAUGAUCUUAAUGUUCUUCAGUGCCACUUUAAAAACCUUGACUCAAACUGUGUCCUCUAGGGAUAGCAGCGGAAAACCAGUAAAAUGUUUGAUCCAUUGCUCAUCCGGCUUAAGGUGACUGAAUUCAAGGAAAUCUUUGGCACUAAAACAUUUACACUAAGCUAUCCAUAAAUCUUCUCUAAACGAGCGCGUGAUUUUACAAACUAUUAUCAUGUGUAAAACUAUUUGUUCCGUAACAGUUUCAAAAUCUUGGUAUUUGGAAGCAAACUCCUUUAUUGUUUAUUAUUAAUAUCAUGCAUAGCAGUCCUACGAUGUUUAAGCUGGUCUCUGUACAUGUUACUAAACUGCCACAUAGAACUAGGUUCAUUAUGACAGUGAAUAUACUUAAACAAACGCAACUUCAUAUCGUUUUCUUGUGAUUUUUGUAAUCGAUUACAACAUGAUUAUUGAUAUAUUUAUUUACAGUAGACCUCCAGCUAUCAUGACUCGGGAAAUACAUGUAUAGUUUACAGUUGCCUAAAAUUUUGUAAAUGUCCGGAAUUGAUGUUGAAACUCCAUUGGGUUCACUUUCGAAUUUGCAUAUUGUUUUACUUUGUGUGUGAUCAGUACUUCAUAAUUGUCCGAAAAAUAGUAGGGUUCUUUUGUCCAUAUAUGUUUCUAAUGAGUAGAUUCCAGCACAACUCAGUGCUAAUGUAUAGUUUUUUAUAGCUUGUGAUGUUUAUUUUUCUCUACUGUAGCUAACUUCAAGAACUGUCAAAAAUAUUCAAUUUAAAAAUUAAUUCACGUUUACUGUUUUCUUGUACAAAGGCACCCGACCCCCAUUCAUUACUGAAAUUAAGUUUACUUUGAAUAAGAGUUUUUUUCAGUUUAAACUGGAGGCUUGCGCCAGUGCAGGAAGCGUACGAGUGCCAUGCGUUCAGUUAAGGCUAACGAUCACUUAAGAUAACUUACGUGUGUUAUUUGGUGUCUUGCUUGCAGUAUGUUCUACGAUAUAUCAAGGUUUCACAACAUGUAUUACUUAAGUUAAAUUAGCCUUAUUAGAAGUAUAUACAACAAAAAAAUAUAUUUGUUUCAAAAACUGUAAUAAAAACUAACCUUCAUCCACGUGCACCGUAAUCCAUUCACAAAGUUCAUACUAUGGUAUUUCAUUUAUAAACCGACAAAUUAACAUAUAGAAACUAGAUCGAUAAUUCCUGUACUACUUUUAAAUAACACUCCCCGAAAUAUAUAUGACAAAUUUCAAAUUGUUAUCGUAAAAACCAUGUCUCAACAAGACAUUUUGUUACCAAAGAAGGAUUUUAAAGGCCUUACAAUUUUGUUUCUGUUUUUAUUUAAUUUUUAGCUUUUUUAAAACUGAAUACUUCUUACAAUAUUCCAUAUUGGUGUUAAAAGUAUGUAUACUGUCCUUUGUUUAAUAUUGAUUGUCAUUUUUUAGUUCAUUUGUUCGUCCUUGUAUUUGUGAUUGUCUAAAAAUCGGAUGAACAAUAAACGCCUUUGAUAUGAGA